UCUACCAAAGGAUAACAGUUAUUCCACUGGUCUUAGGCACCAAAAUCCUUGGCGCAAAUCCAAGUGGUAGAA
rnacentral:tRNA from 1 species